rnacentral:sRNA from 1 species
GCUGGGCAUGGUGGUGAAUGCCUGUAAUCCCUGCACCUUGAGAGGCUGAGGCAGGAGGGUCACGAGUUCAAAGCCAGUCUCAGCAAUGGUGAGGUACUAAGCAACUCAGUGAGACCAUGUCUCUA